UACGUAGGUGGCAAGCGUUGUCCGGAUUUAUUGGGUUUAAAGGGUGCGUAGGCGGCCCUGUAAGUCAGUGCUGAAAUAUCCCGGCUUAACCGGGAGGGUGGCAUUGAUACUGCGGGGCUUGAGUACAGAUGAAGUAGGCGGAAUUGACGGUGUAGCGGUGAAAUGCAUAGAUAUCGUCAAGAACACCGAUAGCGAAGGCAGCUUACUAAGUUGUAACUGACGCUGAUGCACGAAAGUGUGGGGAUCAAACAGG
rnacentral:rRNA from 1 species